AGUCUGGUGCCAGCAGCCGCGGUAAUUCCAGCUCCAAUAGCGUAUAUUAAAAUUGUUGCAGUUAAAACGCUCGUAGUUGAAUUUCAAAGAAUCGAUAUUUUAUUGCAACUAUUCUAGGGGAACUAUUUUAGCUUUUCGCUUUAAUACGCUUCCUCUAUUAUUAUGUUCUUUAAAUAACAAAGAUUCUUUUUAAAAUCCCCACUUUUGCUUUUGCUUUUUGGGGAUUUUGUUACUUUGAGUAAAUUAGAGUGUUCAAAGCAAACAGUUAAAGCAUUUACUGUGUUUGAAUACUAUAGCAUGGAAUAACAAAAUUGAACAAGCUAAAAUUUUUUGUUCUUUUUUCUUAUUUUGGCUUAGUUACGAUUAAUAGGAGUAGCUUGGGGACAUUCGUAUUCAGAUGUCAGAGGUGAAAUUCUUAGAUUUUCUGGAGACGAACAACUGCGAAAGCAUUUGUCUAAAAUACUUCCAUUAAUCAAGAACGAAAGUUAAGGGAGUGAAGACGAUCAGAUACCGUCGUAAUCUUAACCAUAAACUAUGCCGACUAGGUGUUGGAUGAAAGUGUUAAAAAUAAAAGUCAUCUUUCGAGGUGACUUUUAGAUUGCUUCCUUCAGUACCUUAUGAGAAAUCAAAGUCUUUGGGUUCUGGGGCGAGUAUUCGCGCAAGCGAGAAAGUUAAAAGAAUUGACGGAAGGGCACCACCAGGCGUGGAGCUUGCGGCUUAAUUUGACUCAACACGGGGAAACUCACUAGUUUAAGACAAGAGUAGGAUUGACAGAUUAAUAGCUCUUUCUUGAUUUCUUGGAUGGUGAUGCAUGGCCGUUUUUAGUUCGUGAAUAUGAUUUGUCUGGUUAAUUCCGAUAACGAACGAGAUCUUAACCUGCUAAUUAGCGGCGAGUACACUAUAUUCUUAUUUGAAAUUGAACAUAGGUAACUAUACAUUUAUUCAGUAAUCAAAUUAGGAUAUUUUUAUUAAAAUAUCCUUUUCACUGUUCUACUAAUAAUUUGUUUUUUACUCUAUUUCUCUCUUCUUUUAAGAAUGUACUUGCUUGAUUGAAAAGCUUCUUAGAGGAACAUUGUGUGUCUAACACAAGGAAGUUUAAGGCAACAACAGGUCUGUGAUGUCCUUAGAUGAACUAGGCUGCACGCGUGCUACACUGAUAUAUAUAACGAGUUUUUAAAAAUAUGCUUAUAUUUGUAUCUUUGAUGCUUAUAUUUUGCAUACUUUUCCUCCGCCGAAAGGCGUAGGUAAUCUUUAUCAAUAUAUAUCGUGAUGGGGAUAGAUUAUUGCAAUUAUUAAUCUUGAACGAGGAAUGCCUAGUAAGCAUGAUUCAUCAGAUUGUGCUGACUACGUCCCUGCCCUUUGUACACACCGCCCGUCGCUCCUACCGAUUGAAAGAUAUGAUGAAUUGUUUGGACAAGAAAAAUUGAAUUAUAUUCUUUUUUUUCUGGAAAAACCGUAAAUCCUAUCUUUUAAAGGAAGGAGAAGUCGUAACAAGGUUUCCGUAGGUGAACCUGCGGAAG
rnacentral:rRNA from 1 species